rnacentral:sRNA from 1 species
CUACCUCUACUUGUUGCGGCGCAAUAAAGUGAAUGUGCGUAUCGAUAGCUCCUGCCGUAACGAUCUUGCCCGCACAGGCCUGCACCUCGGUGGCGGCACCGAUGAUCAUGCCUUUGGUCACACCUUGUUGGGUGUCCGGGUUACCGGCUUUUCCUAUACCUACAAUCUUGCCAUCUUUUAUACCGAUGUCGGCUUUCACAAUGCCCCAAUGGUCGAUGAUAAUGGCGUUCAACAGCACAAGGUCGAGCACUUCGUCUUGCCCUGCUGAGGUAGACUGGCCCAUACCGUCGCGUAC